UACGUAGGGUCCGAGCGUUGUCCGGAAUUACUGGGCGUAAAGAGCUCGUAGGUGGUUUGUCGCGUUGUUCGUGAAAACUCACAGCUCAACUGUGGGCGUGCGGGCGAUACGGGCAGACUUGAGUACUGCAGGGGAGACUGGAAUUCCUGGUGUAGCGGUGGAAAUGCGCAGAUAUCAGGAAGGAACACCCGGUGGCGAAGGCGGUCUC
rnacentral:rRNA from 1 species